GACCCCUUCGUCUAACCGGUCAGGACCCGGGACUCUCACUCCCGGAAUGCGGGUUCGAAUCCCGCAGGGGCCACCA
rnacentral:tRNA from 1 species